rnacentral:rRNA from 1 species
UACGUAGGGUGCAAGCGUUGUUCGGAAUCAUUGGGCGUAAAGCGCGUGUAGGUGGUUAGGAAAGUUGGAUGUGAAAUCCCUGGGCUCAACUCAGGACGUGCAUCCAAAACUCCUUAGCUAGAGGGCGAGAGAGGGAGGUGGAAUUCCUAGUGUAGAGGUGAAAUUCGUAGAUAUUAGGAGGAAUACCGGCGGCGAAGGCGGCCUCCUGGAUCGUUCCUGACACUGAGACGCGAAAGCGUGGGGAG